rnacentral:sRNA from 1 species
UUAAGUUAGUAUGUUUUAUUUGGGGAAAAAUGUUAUUUAAUCCCCCAACUUUAAAAGAAUGGCCAUUUUAUACAUCAACUUCGUAUGUGACCGUUUAAAACAUGAACUAAACGUUGACUAAUUUUUAAAACAUGAUCUUUCGUUGACCAGGCCAAAAUAAACAUGCCGUUAUCAGUCAUUAACGGAAUUUCUAACGUCCGUUAUCAUCCGUUAACUUUAUAAUCAAGUUUCAAAUUGUGCCCAUUUUAAACAUCAACUUCUUAUGUGGCCAUUUAAAACAUGAACUAAAUGUUGACUAUCAUUUAAGACAUGAAAAAAUCGUUGACCAGGCCAAAAUAGACAUGUCUUUAUCAGUAGAACCUAGAAACCCGUUAAUGACUGUUAAUCUGUCCAAAACAACGUCGUUUGAGAAUAAUCGAAAGAACGUCGUUUUAAAAGGAAUCAUGUAAGCAAAUUGAAGACUCAUUAUAAGAUUGUUCGUCUUGUUUGAGAGUUGUAGAAAUAGAUUUGGGGAACUGGGAUUUCAUUUAGAAAAUAAUCCUGAUUUUCUUUUGAUUAUUCUUAAAACAAAGUCGUUUUAGGGAUACUAAUAGAGUCGUUAACAAGUGAUAAUGAAUGUUAUAAGUUCUUUUAAUGAAUAAUGACAACAUGUUUAUUUUGGCUUGGUCAACGAAUUUCUCAUGUUUUAAAUGGUAGUCAAUGCUUAGUUCAUGUUUAAAAUGGUCACAUAUAAAGUCGAUGUUUAAAAUGGCCACAAUUUAAAACUUGACUAAUAAAGUCGUUAACGGAUGAUAACGGACGUUAGAAGUUCCGUUAAUGACUGAUAAUGGCAUGUCUAUUUUUGUCUGGUCAACGAAUAAUCAUGUUUUAAAAGUUAGUCAACGUUUAGUUCAUGUUUUAAACGGUCGCAUACAAAGUUGAUGUAUAAAAUAGCUAUUUUUUGAAAGUUAGGAUAUUAAUUGACAUUUUUCCCGUUUUAUUUGAAGUCUUUCUUUCUUAGUUAGUCUAUCAUAUGGUGUACAUAAUUUAGUUCGA